AGUGAACGCUGGCGGUAGGCCUAACACAUGCAAGUCGAACGGCAGCACAGUAAGAGCUUGCUCCUACGGGUGGCGAGUGGCGGACGGGUGAGGAAUACAUCGGAAUCUACUUUUUCGUGGGGGAUAACGUAAGGAAACUUACGCUAAUACCGCAUACGUCCUACGGGUGAAAGCAGGGGAUCUUCGGACCUUGCGCGACUGAAUGAGCCGAUGUCGGAUUAGCUAGUUGGCGGGGUAAAGGCCCACCAAGGCGACGAUCCGUAGCUGGUCUGAGAGGAUGAUCAGCCACACUGGAACUGAGACACGGUCCAGACUCCUACGGGAGGCAGCAGUGGGGAAUAUUGGACAAUGGGCGCAAGCCUGAUCCAGCCAUACCGCGUGGGUGAUGAAGGCCUUCGGGUUGUAAAGCCCUUUUGUUGGGAAAGAAAAGCAGCAGAUUAAUACCCCGCUGUUCUGACGGUACCCAAAGAAUAAGCACCGGCUAACUUCGUG
rnacentral:rRNA from 1 species